AGGGAAUCUUCCGCAAUGGACGAAAGUCUGACGGAGCAACGCCGCGUGAGUGAUGAAGGUUUUCGGAUCGUAAAACUCUGUUGUUAGGGAAGAACAAGUAUCAUUCGAAUAGGGCGGUACCUUGACGGUACCUAACCAGAAAGCCACGGCUAACUACGUGCCAGCAGCCGCGGUAAUACGUAGGUGGCAAGCGUUGUCCGGAAUUAUUGGGCGUAAAGCGCGCGCAGGCGGUUUCUUAAGUCUGAUGUGAAACCUUGCGGCUCAACCGCAAGCGGCCAUUGGAAACUGGGAGACUUGAGUGCAGAAGAGGAGAGUGGAAUUCCACGUGUAGCGGUGAAAUGCGUAGAGAUGUGGAGGAACACCAGUGGCGAAGGCGACUCUCUGGUCUGUAACUGACGCUGAGGCGCGAAAGCGUGGGGAGCGAAC
rnacentral:rRNA from 1 species